rnacentral:rRNA from 2 species
ACCCGCUGAACUUAAGCAUAUUAAUAAGCGGAGGAAAAGAAACUAACAAGGAUUCCCCUAGUAACGGCGAGUGAAGCGGGAUGAGCUCAAGCUUAAAAUCUCUGUGCCAGUUUGGCAUGGCGAAUUGUAGUCUAUGGAGGCGCUGUCAGUGCGACUAUGCGGGUUAAGUUCCUUGGAAGAGGACAGCAUCGAGGGUGAUACUCCCGUAUGUACCUGUGUAGUUGCGCGUACGACACGUUUUCUUUGAGUCGUGUUGUUUGGGAAUGCAGCACAAAGUAGGUGGUAAAUUCCAUCUAAAGCUAAAUAUUGGUGCGAGACCGAUAGCGAACAAGUACCGUGAGGGAAAGAUGAAAAGAACUUUGAAAAGAGAGUUAAAGAGUACCUGAAACUGCUGAAAGGGAACCGAAUCGUUUCCAGUGUCUAUAAUCUAUGGCAUAUUCCAUUGGCGUGUGGGUGUGUACAGCGUUUUGGAAGUAGUUUUCUGCUCCUGUCGUUGUUUUGCGCUCGCCUGCUGAUGCCCUGUGCUGUAGUGGGACGUCAGAGUCAGUUUGUAUGCUGCGGGAAAUGGUUACUGGGGAGGUAGGUCACUUCGGUGGCUGUUAUAUCCUGGUGACUAGUCGUCGUGGUUGAGACUGAGGUGCCUACAAUGUGCUUUCGAGUCUAUGGGCCUCUCGUUUGGCUGUUUGCUUUGAUAGCUUGCUAUGUUAGUGAACGUGUCGGGCGAUUGAGACCUGUAGUAACUUGUUGCCGUUCGGGACUUUGACGAAAUGGAGCGAUCCGACCCGUCUUGAAACACGG